GACGAAGGGGGCUAGCGUUGUUCGGAAUUACUGGGCGUAAAGCGAGUGUAGGUGGUUGUCCACGUUGGAUGUGAAAGCCUUGAGCUCAACUCAAGAAAUGCAUUCAGGACUGGGCGGCUAGAGGACCGGAGAGGAUAGUGGAAUUCCCAGUGUAGUGGUGAAAUACGUAGAAAUUGGGAAGAACACCAGUGGCGAAGGCGGCUAUCUGGACGGUUUCUGACGCUAAGACUCGAAAGCGUGGGGAGCAAACAGG
rnacentral:rRNA from 1 species